GACGAACGCUGGCGGCGUGCUUAACACAUGCAAGUCGAGCGGUAAGGCCCCUUCGGGGGUACACGAGCGGCGAACGGGUGAGUAACACGUGGGUGACCUGCCCUCAGCUCUGGGAUAAGCCUGGGAAACCGGGUCUAAUACUGGAUAUGACUCCAUGACGCAUGUUGUGGGGUGGAAAGCCUUGUGCGGCUGAGGAUGGGCCCGCGGCCUAUCAGCUUGUUGGUGGGGUGANGGCCUACCAAGGCGACGACGGGUAGCCGGCCUGAGAGGGCGACCGGCCACACUGGGACUGAGACACGGCCCAGACUCCUACGGGAGGCAGCAGUGGGGAAUCUUGCGCAAUGGGCGAAAGCCUGACGCAGCGACGCCGCGUGAGGGAUGACGGCCU
rnacentral:rRNA from 1 species